rnacentral:tRNA from 1 species
GCCGCCAUGGUGAAAUUGGUAGACACGCUGCUCUUAGGAAGCAGUGCUCAAGCAUCUCGGUUCGAAUCCGAGUGGAAGCG